CCAGCCCAGCGCGGUUAUACCUCUCUCAUAUAGGAUCUAUUUCUUAAUCAGAGAUUAUAUUAACCUUUUAGGCGGUGCCGAUUGAUGUUAUUUAAUAGGGGUUAAAUCCAUUAUUAUUUUAUUAUACCUAGAUCGGCACAUAGUUUCUUACUUUAUAUGAGCUCCCAUCUGGAACGGGGAUUGGAUACCCCCUUACUAGGAGAAGUUUUAUGUGAUUAAGGUUAUUAUAAUAUAGCUCUCUUUAUAGGUAUUAAAUAUGGAAAGAAAACUAUAGGUCUUGGCGGUCAGAAAAGAACCUUAGGGAGUUUAUGGGUUUAAUAGAUGAUACACUUAAAAGCUCACAGUCUUCUAUUAUUUUAAACAAGGUCACUAUACCUCUGCUUAAAGAUCAGUUUGAAGAGUGAUAAUUCUCAUAAUGGGAAGUGAGAGCAAGUUAAGGUGGUGCCUAUAAGGCUGUCCCAGAGAACUACAAUCAGUUAGGUGUUGGAGGAUAUACCUGCAAAGGUGUCUGAUAAAGAGGACCAAGUUGUAAGCUGGAAACUAGAGAGUUCAGCUGAACUAUCUUUUCUGGAGUACAAAUCGCCCGUCACUCUCAACGUUAAGAGGAGAUAAGUCGUAACUAGUU
rnacentral:rRNA from 1 species